UACGUAGGUGGCAAGCGUUGUCCGGAAUUAUUGGGCGUAAAGCGCGCGCAGGUGGUUUCUUAAGUCUGAUGUGAAAGCCCACGGCUCAACCGUGGAGGGUCAUUGGAAACUGGGGAACUUGAGUGCAGAAGAAGGAAAGUGGAAUUCCAAGUGUAGCGGUGAAAUGCGUAGAGAUUUGGAGGAACACCAGUGGCGGAAGGCGACUUUCUGGUCUGUAACUGACACUGAGG
rnacentral:rRNA from 1 species